rnacentral:rRNA from 1 species
CGUUGCCUCGGCGGGCGCUCCGCGCGCCCGCCGGCGGCCCGCAUACUCUGUCUCAGCGUGUUGGCAUCUCCGAGUAUUAUACAAACGAGUCAAAACUUUCAACAACGGAUCUCUUGGUUCUGGCAUCGAUGAAGAACGCAGCGAAAUGCGAUAAGUAAUGUGAAUUGCAGAAUUCAGUGAAUCAUCGAAUCUUUGAACGCACAUUGCGCCCGCCAGCAUCCUGGCGGGCAUGCCUGUUCGAGCGUCAUUUCAACCCUCAAGCCCCUGCGGCUUGGUGUUGGGGGCCUGCGCACCGCAGCCCCCUAAAGACAGCGGCGGGCGUGGCCUGGCACCGAACGUAGUAGACUCUCUCUCGUUCGCGGUCCAGGGCGCGCUCCGGCCGGUAAACCCCCAUAUUUUAACAAUGGUUGACCUCGGAUCAGGUAGGAAUACCCGCUGAACUUAAGCAUAUCAAUAA